GACGAACGCUGGCGGCGUGCUUAACACAUGCAAGUCGAACGGAAAGGCCCUGCUUUUGUGGGGUGCUCGAGUGGCGAACGGGUGAGUAACACGUGAGAAACCUGCCCUUGACUUUGGGAUAACUUCAGGAAACUGGGGCUAAUACCGGAUAGGAGCUCCUGCUGCAUGGUGGGGGUUGGAAAGUUUCGGCGGUUGGGGAUGGACUCGCGGCUUAUCAGCUUGUUGGUGGGGUAGUGGCUUACCAAGGCUUUGACGGGUAGCCGGCCUGAGAGGGUGACCGGCCACGUUGGGACUGAGAUACGGCCCAGACUCCUACGGGAGGCAGCAGUGGGGAAUAUUGCACAAUGGGCGGAAGCCUGAUGCAGCAACGCCGCGUGCGGGAUGACGGCCUUCGGGUUGUAAACCGCUUUCGCCUGUGACGAAGCGUGAGUGACGGUAAUGGGUAAAGAAGCACCGGCUAACUACGUG
rnacentral:rRNA from 1 species